rnacentral:rRNA from 1 species
UACGUAGGGGGCAAGCGUUGUCCGGAAUUAUUGGGCGUAAAGCGCGUGUAGGCGGUUGUUCAAGUCAGGUGUGAAAGCCUUGAGCUCAACUCAAGAAAUGCACUUGAUACUGGAUGACUAGAGGACCGGAGAGGAUAGUGGAAUUCCCAGUGUAGUGGUGAAAUACGUAGAGAUUGGGAAGAACACCAGUGGCGAAGGCGGCUAUCUGGACGGUUUCUGACGCUAAGGCGCGAAAGCGUGGGGAGCAAACAGG